GCAGCAUCAUCAAAGCUUGCUUUGAUGGAUGGCGACCGGCGCACGGGUGAGUAACACGUAUCCAACCUGCCGACAACACUGGGAUAGCCUUUCGAAAGAAAGAUUAAUACCGGAUGGCAUAGUUUUCCCGCAUGGGAUAAUUAUUAAAGAAUUUCGGUUGUCGAUGGGGAUGCGUUCCAUUAGGCAGUUGGCGGGGUAACGGCCCACCAAACCAACGAUGGAUAGGGGUUCUGAGAGGAAGGUCCCCCACAUUGGAACUGAGACACGGUCCAAACUCCUACGGGAGGCAGCAGUGAGGAAUAUUGGUCAAUGGACGAGAGUCUGAACCAGCCAAGUAGCGUGAAGGAUGACUGCCCUAUGGGUUGUAAACUUCUUUUAUACGGGAAUAAAGUGAGGCACGUGUGCCUUUUUGUAUGUACCGUAUGAAUAAGGAUCGGCUAACUCCGUGCCAGCAGCCGCGGUAAUACGGAGGAUCCGAGCGUUAUCCGGAUUUAUUGGGUUUAAAGGGAGCGUAGGCGGACGCUUAAGUCAGUUGUGAAAGUUUGCGGCUCAACCGUAAAAUUGCAGUUGAUACUGGGUGUCUUGAGUACAGUAGAGGCAGGCGGAAUUCGUGGUGUAGCGGUGAAAUGCUUAGAUAUCACGAAGAACUCCGAUUGCGAAGGCAGCUUGCUGGACUGUAACUGACGCUGAUGCUCGAAAGUGUGGGUAUCAAACAGGAUUAGAUA
rnacentral:rRNA from 1 species